AGAGACUGAAUGUCAAAAUUGUAUGCUCAGAGCACUUAAACGAUUGGAAAUCUGGGAUCCCACUACGACAUUAAAAAUGGCAGCUAAUGUCUGUGGCAACCCGGGUGUUUAGGAGCGGGCUAAAGCUAGAGUUCUCUUGCUCUUUGAUUACGGGCACCACUUUCAGAUAAAAACAUAGACCUGAAUGGCAUCAUCCAGUAUCCAAGGAAACCAUGUAUUCAGGUAGUCGCUCCUUCCUCUGCCUGAUUUGAGACCACGUUACCUACAGCUGCACGGGACUGCAGAGCUCACUGUUGCCCUUCGAAUGUUAUGCCUGUCUAUCUCACUGACCCUUGGGUUGGGUGACAGCCUUGGAUGGGGCCCGCUCUGUAUUUAUGAUCCCAAAUAUCAAGCCACACAGUAGCCUAGAAGCAAGAACGUGGAGAUACUUCUGAUGAGGUCUGGAGAUACCCUGGUGGGCUUUCUCUAGUUGCAGCGAGUGGGGGGCCACUCUUCGUUGCGCCAUGUGGGAUCUUAGCUGCCCGACCAGAUAUCGAACCAGCACCCUGUGCAUUGGAAGGUGAAGUCUUAAUCACUGGACCGCCAGGGAAGUCCCUUCUCUCUCUUUUUAAAUUUCACUGGCAUGCAUGCAGUAAUUGAGUUUUAUAGAAACAGUUUAAAAUUAUAAUACUUAUAGUAAGAU